CGCGUAGGCGGUCAGCACAAGUCAGUUGUGAAAUCUCCGGGCUUAACUCGGAAAGGUCAACUGAUACUGUGCGACUAGAGUGCAGAAGGGGCAACUGGAAUUCUUGGUGUAGCGGUGAAAUGCGUAGAUAUCAAGAGGAACACCUGCGGCGAAGGCGGGUUGCUGGGCUGACACUGACGCUGAGGCGCGAAAGGCCAGGGGAGCGAACG
rnacentral:rRNA from 1 species